ACAGGCGGAAGGGGGGGCUUGCACCUUUCAAGUGAGUGGCGAACGGGUGAGUAACACGUGGACAACCUGCCUCAAGGCUGGGGAUAACAUUUGGAAACAGAUGCUAAUACCGAAUAAAACUUAGUGUCGCAUGACACAAAGUUAAAAGGCGCUUCGGCGUCACCUAGAGAUGGAUCCGCGGUGCAUUAGUUAGUUGGUGGGGUAAAGGCCUACCAAGACAAUGAUGCAUAGCCGAGUUGAGAGACUGAUCGGCCACAUUGGGACUGAGACACGGCCCAAACUCCUACGGGAGGCUGCAGUAGGGAAUCUUCCACAAUGGGCGAAAGCCUGAUGGAGCAACGCCGCGUGUGUGAUGAAGGCUUUCGGGUCGUAAAGCACUGUUGUAUGGGAAGAACAGCUAGAAUAGGAAAUGAUUUUAGUUUGACGGUACCAUACCAGAAAGGGACGGCUAAAUACGUGCCAGCAGCCGCGGUAAUACGUAUGUCCCGAGCGUUAUCCGGAUUUAUUGGGCGUAAAGCGAGCGCAGACGGUUUAUUAAGUCUGAUGUGAAAGCCCGGAGCUCAACUCCGGAAUGGCAUUGGAAACUGGUUAACUUGAGUGCAGUAGAGGUAAGUGGAACUCCAUGUGUAGCGGUGGAAUGCGUAGAUAUAUGGAAGAACACCAGUGGCGAAGGCGGCUUACUGGACUGCAACUGACGUUGAGGCUCGAAAGUGUGGGUAGCAAACAGGAUUAGAUACCCUGGUAGUCCACACCGUAAACGAUGAACACUAGGUGUUAGGAGGUUUCCGCCUCUUAGUGCCGAAGCUAACGCAUUAAGUGUUCCGCCUGGGGAGUACGACCGCAAGGUUGAAACUCAAAGGAAUUGACGGGGACCCGCACAAGCGGUGGAGCAUGUGGUUUAAUUCGAAGCAACGCGAAGAACCUUACCAGGUCUUGACAUCCUUUGAAGCUUUUAGAGAUAGAAGUGUUCUCUUCGGAGACAAAGUGACAGGUGGUGCAUGGUCGUCGUCAGCUCGUGUCGUGAGAUGUUGGGUUAAGUCCCGCAACGAGCGCAACCCUUAUUGUUAGUUGCCAGCAUUCAAAAAAUUUU
rnacentral:rRNA from 1 species